rnacentral:rRNA from 1 species
CAUAGGUUAAUGAGGCGAACCGGGGGAACUGAAACAUCUAAGUACCCCGAGGAAAAGAAAUCAACCGAGAUUCCCCCAGUAGCGGCGAGCGAACGGGGAGCAGCCCAGAGCCUGAAUCAGUGUGUGUGUUAGUGGAAGCGUCUGGAAAGGCGCGCGAUACAGGGUGACAGCCCCGUACACAAAAAUGCACAUGCUGUGAGCUCGAUGAGUAGGGCGGGACACGUGGUAUCCUGUCUGAAUAUGGGGGGACCAUCCUCCAAGGCUAAAUACUCCUGACUGACCGAUAGUGAACCAGUACCGUGAGGGAAAGGCGAAAAGAACCCCGGCGAGGGGAGUGAAAAAGAACCUGAAACCGUGUACGUACAAGCAGUGGGAGCACGCUUAGGCGUGUGACUGCGUACCUUUUGUAUAAUGGGUCAGCGACUUAUAUUCUGUAGCAAGGUUAACCGAAUAGGGGAGCCGAAGGGAAACCGAGUCUUAACUGGGCGUUAAGUUGCAGGGUAUAGACCCGAAACCCGGUGAUCUAGCCAUGGGCAGGUUGAAGGUUGGGUAACACUAACUGGAGGACCGAACCGACUAAUGUUGAAAAAUUAGCGGAUGACUUGUGGCUGGGGGUGAAAGGCCAAUCAAACCGGGAGAUAGCUGGUUCUCCCCGAAAGCUAUUUAGGUAGCGCCUCGUGAAUUCAUCUCCGGGGGUAGAGCACUGUUUCGGCAAGGGGGUCAUCCCGACUUACCAACCCGAUGCAAACUGCGAAUACCGGAGAAUGUUAUCACGGGAGACACACGGCGGGUGCUAACGUCCGUCGUGAAGAGGGAAACAACCCAGACCGCCAGCUAAGGUCCCAAAGUCAUGGUUAAGUGGGAAACGAUGUGGGAAGGCCCAGACAGCCAGGAUGUUGGCUUAGAAGCAGCCAUCAUUUAAAGAAAGCGUAAUAGCUCACUGGUCGAGUCGGCCUGCGCGGAAGAUGUAACGGGGCUAAACCAUGCACCGAAGCUGCGGCAGCGACGCUUAUGCGUUGUUGGGUAGGGGAGCGUUCUGUAAGCCUGUGAAGGUGUGCUGUGAGGCAUGCUGGAGGUAUCAGAAGUGCGAAUGCUGACAUAAGUAACGAUAAAGCGGGUGAAAAGCCCGCUCGCCGGAAGACCAAGGGUUCCUGUCCAACGUUAAUCGGGGCAGGGUGAGUCGACCCCUAAGGCGAGGCCGAAAGGCGUAGUCGAUGGGAAACAGGUUAAUAUUCCUGUACUUGGUGUUACUGCGAAGGGGGGACGGAGAAGGCUAUGUUGGCCGGGCGACGGUUGUCCCGGUUUAAGCGUGUAGGCUGGUUUUCCAGGCAAAUCCGGAAAAUCAAGGCUGAGGCGUGAUGACGAGGCACUACGGUGCUGAAGCAACAAAUGCCCUGCUUCCAGGAAAAGCCUCUAAGCAUCAGGUAACAUCAAAUCGUACCCCAAACCGACACAGGUGGUCAGGUAGAGAAUACCAAGGCGCUUGAGAGAACUCGGGUGAAGGAACUAGGCAAAAUGGUGCCGUAACUUCGGGAGAAGGCACGCUGAUAUGUAGGUGAAGCGACUUGCUCGUGGAGCUGAAAUCAGUCGAAGAUACCAGCUGGCUGCAACUGUUUAUUAAAAACACAGCACUGUGCAAACACGAAAGUGGACGUAUACGGUGUGACGCCUGCCCGGUGCCGGAAGGUUAAUUGAUGGGGUCAGCGCAAGCGAAGCUCUUGAUCGAAGCCCCGGUAAACGGCGGCCGUAACUAUAACGGUCCUAAGGUAGCGAAAUUCCUUGUCGGGUAAGUUCCGACCUGCACGAAUGGCGUAAUGAUGGCCAGGCUGUCUCCACCCGAGACUCAGUGAAAUUGAACUCGCUGUGAAGAUGCAGUGUACCCGCGGCAAGACGGAAAGACCCCGUGAACCUUUACUAUAGCUUGACACUGAACAUUGAGCCUUGAUGUGUAGGAUAGGUGGGAGGCUUAGAAGUGUGGACGCCAGUCUGCAUGGAGCCGACCUUGAAAUACCACCCUUUAAUGUUUGAUGUUCUAACGUUGACCCGUAAUCCGGGUUGCGGACAGUGUCUGGUGGGUAGUUUGACUGGGGCGGUCUCCUCCUAAAGAGUAACGGAGGAGCACGAAGGUUGGCUAAUCCUGGUCGGACAUCAGGAGGUUAGUGCAAUGGCAUAAGCCAGCUUGACUGCGAGCGUGACGGCGCGAGCAGGUGCGAAAGCAGGUCAUAGUGAUCCGGUGGUUCUGAAUGGAAGGGCCAUCGCUCAACGGAUAAAAGGUACUCCGGGGAUAACAGGCUGAUACCGCCCAAGAGUUCAUAUCGACGGCGGUGUUUGGCACCUCGAUGUCGGCUCAUCACAUCCUGGGGCUGAAGUAGGUCCCAAGGGUAUGGCUGUUCGCCAUUUAAAGUGGUACGCGAGCUGGGUUUAGAACGUCGUGAGACAGUUCGGUCCCUAUCUGCCGUGGGCGCUGGAGAACUGAGGGGGGCUGCUCCUAGUACGAGAGGACCGGAGUGGACGCAUCACUGGUGUUCGGGUUGUCAUGCCAAUGGCACUGCCCGGUAGCUAAAUGCGGAAGAGAUAAGUGCUGAAAGCAUCUAAGCACGAAACUUGCCCCGAGAUGAGUUCUCCCUGACUCCUUGAGAGUCCUGAAGGAACGUUGAAGACGACGACGUUGAUAGGCCGGGUGUGUAAGCGCAGCGAUGCGUUGAGCUAACCGGUACUAAUGAACCGUGAG